AGGAUAAACGCUGGCGGCGUGCCUAACACAUGCAAGUCGAACGAGAAAGUGGAGCAAUCCAUGAGUAAAGUGGCGCACGGGUGAGUAACACGUGACUAACCUACCCUUGAGUGGGGAAUAACUUCGGGAAACCGAGGCUAAUACCGCAUAACACCUACGGGUCAAAGGAGCAAUUCGCUUAAGGAGGGGGUCGCGGCAGAUUAGUUAGUUGGCGGGGUAAUGGCCCACCAAGACAGUGAUCUGUAU
rnacentral:rRNA from 1 species